GAUGAACGCUGGCGGCGUGCCUAAUACAUGCAAGUCGAGCGAACGGACGAGAAGCUUGCUCCUCUGAUGUUAUCGGCGGACGGGUGAGUAACACGUGGAUAACCUACCUAUAAGACUGGGAUAACUUCGGGAAACCGGAGCUAAUACCGGAUAAUGUUUUGAACCGCAUGGUUCAAAAGUUAAAGACGGUCUUGCUGUCACUUAUAGAUGGAUCCGCGCUGCAUUAGCUAGUUGGUAAGGUAACGGCUUACCAAGGCAACGAUGCAUAGCCGACCUGAGAGGGUGCUCGGCCACACUGGAACUGAGAGACGGUCCGGACUCCUACGGGAGGCAGCAGUAGGGAAUCUUCCGCAAUGGGCGAAAGCCUGAAGGAGCAACGCCGCGUGAGUGAUGAAGGUCUUCAGAUCGUAAAACUCUGUUAUUAGGGAAGAACAUAUGUGUAAGUAACUGUGCACAUCUUGACGGUACCUGAUCAGAAAGCCACGGCUAACUACGUU
rnacentral:rRNA from 1 species